AGCUCAGACAAAACACUAUGUUAGGCUAUUUUAUAACAGUGAAUUUGGACACUAAAACACAUUUUAACUCAACCAAAAAUAAUUUCUACCACAUUCAAUAAUAUACACAUAUGUAACUCAGAUGCAAUAAUCGAAAAUUUUAGUUUCUCUUUCUUAGUUCCUUCCUUCUUUGUUAUUGGAGCGUUCCAUCACAUAUAUAUGUAUAUUAUUUGACCAAACUCAUGCUCCUCAAC
rnacentral:lncRNA from 1 species